GCGCCGUGAGGGAGGCGCGGGCGAAGCAGAGCGGGCAGAAGGGAGGGAGCCGGCUCCCCGGCACGGGUCUUCAGGCAGGCUGUGGGCCGGCGGCGCCUGAGGGGGAGAGCCGGGCGCCCCUCCUCCAGCCCGCCCCUCCCGAGAUGAUCUCACCUGGCUGGAUCCCGGGGGAAGCGGAAGAAGGCCAGCUCCUGGUCACCAGCCAGUGUCCAGCCAGCCAGCCUCAUUGUUACAGUUCUGAUCAUUUGUGGCUAAGUUUCGCUUAGUUUCCCUCCCUGAGGAAACUCACAGAGGGGUGAGUGGAGCGGGGCAGGGCUGGUGUGCCUUCACCUGGGGCUGCUCCCCAUUUGUAUGUAUGCUACACUGUGUCUGCUUUAAAACCAGGCAUAGGGUGGACAUCGAAGUCAUAACGUUGUUCUCUUGUCUUACUUUCUUUUGUUUGGCUCUAGGAGGAUGUUGUUACGCUGCAGCCUGACGGAUAAUCCCACACAGAAUCACUGAAUCAAUUAGGUUGGAAACGACCUCUGUGAUCAUUGAGUCCAGCCUAUGACUGUUCAUAACCUUGUCAACUAGACCAGAGCGCAUCCAGGCUUUCCUUAAACUUCUCCAGGGAUGGUGACUCUACCAUCUCUUUUGGCAGACCCUUCACAUACCUGAGCACCCUUUCUGUGAAAAAAAAAUCCUCCUGAUGUACAGCCUAAGCCUUCACUGGCACAUCCUGUCGCUGGUUGCUAGGAGAAGAGGCUAAAACCUGGCUAAAACCUCCUUUCAGGUAGUUAAAGAAGUAGUGAUAAAAGCCACAAGCAUUUGAAGUAAUGAAAUAAUUAGAUAGAAGUUGUAGUGGUCAGAAGCCAAUAUUAGGUAAAACUAAAAUAAAGCUUAGAAAAAAAAAAACAGGAUACAGAAAACUAUAAGUAGGUGAGGGCUCCCUCAGCAAAUAUGUCCUGUUUAAAAGUAGGUGGAGCACCUAUGGAAUUAUAAAUACUGAUAGCAAGUGAUGAUGGUUUCAGGUAUAAUAUUGUAGUUUUAAGAAUUCUGCUGUGAUACAUCCUUUUUGUAUCUUCACAUAAAAAAUCCUCCUGAUCUGGAGAUGUGCUGGGCUUUAGGAAAGAUAAUACAAAGACACAAAAUAGUCAAUAGUGUAAGUUUUCAAAUGAGCAUAAAGGAAAAAUAACAAAGAAACCCCUACUUAUUUGAUUACUUUUGAGCUUCAAAUAUUUUAAGCUUGCUUCGUCUAGUAUGAGCAGGAUUGAAGCUUUUACAUGAGGAAGUCUUGUCAUCAAGUGCUCUUGACCAGUUAUAAUAACAUCAGUUUAUUUAGUUUUAGUUGAUUGCCUGAAUUCUACCUUGGGUGUGUAGCUGAAGUAGUUUUGAGUAGUCAUUUAAGCUAAUGCUAAAGAGAAUUGCACUCCAUUGGUUUGACUUUACUGGGCAGUCACCAACAUUCAUGGACAGUGAACUGUAGAAAUUAAUUACUCAGAUAAGUAAUCUUUUUUAAAAUAAACUAAUUUAGGUUAGAUUUAGACCAGAUAGCUGCCAUCUGAUAUGUGGUGCAGGUAGCAUAAAUGUUCAUGCUGAUAAAAGGAAACAAAAAAAAAGAGAGCAGGAUCAUUUUCAAUUGUAGUAAGAGUAUAGGAGCAUAAUUGCAUAAUGUUAGAGUGAAUUUUAAAACACUUAAAAUCUGUUUCAGUAGGAAAAAAUUACUUCUCACAUAGCUAAUAAGAAAAUUGUAUCUUCUGCCCAAUAUUUUCUCCUCCAAAUUGCUUCACCAAACAGAAGUACUGGCAUGCUAAACUCCUUUUUGGGGCUCUGAGCAAGCUAGACCAGAAUGUUACCAUGGCAGUAUUAAAAUUAAAUUGCAGAUAUUUCUGAGCUGCCACUUCUGACCAAAGUCUCAGCUGAUACUGGUUGUAUCUUAUGAAGCACUAUACAAGUAUGUUAUGGCUGUUACCUUCCAGAUGUGUGUAUAUUUGCAUAGAAGCUAUCCUGAUGAAAUCAAGGCAAGGACUUGUUUAUAAAGUAGACUUACUGAGGUCUGCUGGAUGGUGGGUUUUAUGUGGAAACUUAUUCUUAAGUGCUUUCUAUGUGAUGGAAAGAAAAUGGACUUAAUAGUUUUCAAAACACAGUAGUAAUACUAGAAGCAUUAUUUAAAGCACGUUAUUUAAAAAUAAAAAUUAGUUUACAUUACUACUUAGUUGGAAAUUUCAAAAAUUAUCUUCUGUUUUAGAGUGCAGAAAUCCCUGAAAUAAUUUUUCCUGUACAGUAGCCUUUGAAGUGUACACCUGUAUUUUAAAUAAUCCUCUUGAAUAUUCAAUUCUUAUUCAGAAUGUGUUUCCAGGUAUGUCUAUAGAACAUUUAACAGGGAUUAUAUACUGUAUUAGUGUUGAACAUAUAAUCUGUAUUCUUAAAUUAUAUAUAUGUUAUAUAAAUUAUUCUUAAAGGAA